rnacentral:misc_RNA from 1 species
UAAUAAGUGUUUUAUGGCACUUUUUAAAUCCAUAUCCACCUUGUGUGCAAUGUCAGUCGAUCUUCUUUUAUGGAGGAUCGACCAAACAUCAACCUUUAUUUUUAACUCUUUGUCUGAAAAAUAUUAUGAAUAAACAAUUCAAAAUA